UUUCCCUUUUUUAAGUUAAAAAAACUAAAAUGCCACUAAUAGCAUACUGAAGUGUUUUAAUAAACAAAACAGUUGUUUCUCAGAAGAAAAAUUGGGGGCACAGGUUUUAAAAUAUUUUUUUCUUUUUUUCUCUCCAAAAUGGGAGAUAUUUAAUUUUGAGAUAGAAGUGAAGCUUCUUGGAGGCAGGUCCCAGGUGGUGGGAAUACUACCUGGAGGGAAGACGUUUUUCCUAGACUCUCAAGCUAGGAAGGAAUUCCAGGGUUGGGGAGGGGCUUUCAUUGGCCUCUUGGACACAAGUCAGAAAUGAGGCAAGACACUGGCAUCAAAAGAGACUGCAGAGGUCUGGUCUUGGCCAGUGAUUGUAAGGUGUUCUAUGCGUAUUCUUUCUUGUUAUCCCUUAUCCUUAAAGAGAGUCUUAUUAAAAAUUAGAGAUUGAUCUUACUUGUGCUGAGGAAAAUGAGAAGAAGGCCAGUCCCAUGUUUCAGGUGAAAUGGUACAAUGAGUGGCAGGUAGGAGGGACCAUCUUUAGAAACAAUGUGAAUUCACAGUGGUAUGGCCAGAGAUGGAGAAAGUCAGCUGAGGGGCACCAGUGGGUAAAUAAUUUCAUCCAGAAUGAUACUACUACUCACCAUGAAGGAAGUAUUACCUGGAUAUUAGUUGUCCCAUUUGCUGGAGCCCACAACAAGAAGAUGACUGAGAUUCAUGCCUCAAAGGAUAAGGAAUGUUUUUGUCGGGUGUAGAAGAAGACAAAAAUUACUUUAAACAGAAGGUAUCUUUACACUUCUUGAAAGAUCUCACUAUAGCUGAAAACAGAUUUUUUAUUUUAUUUUAUAUGGCCAACGUUACUAACCUUUGAGGGCAAUUGUGGAAUAAUGCAUGUAAAAAUGUCUUUCUUUAGGAGUUCUUUUCCUUAACAUCAUCAUUCAAAGCUUGCCUUUGAUGCUGGAAAUUAGUUAAUGUAUAGAAACUUCAGUCAUUUUAGCCAAAUACAAGGCAGGAACUUCUGCUCUCAUCGCCUUUUGACCUUCUUUCUAAGCCUGGAGUUUGAACUGGUGUGUGUUUCUGUUUUCACUUAUGACCUUGAUUUUCUGAUUCUCCCAAGCUUGGCCAACCAUGCUAAUGUCUCCCAGUGUCUGGGUUUCCCAAGUAUUUCCCAGGAUACUUAGUACACUGGAAUUUGUGUGAGUGUGAAAGCGUUUGAGAACCAGCAUACUCCAGUGACAGUGAUUCAUGGUAUCCACUGAUUUAUUUAGAAAACCCCCUCUCAGUGACAGCAUAGAAAAGGCCUUUCAGAGAAAAGCACUACCUUCUUCUUUCAUUCAGAACAGCCUGUCAGGAUGCUACAGAUCAGUUUUGUGUGUACUAAGUGAAUUUCAUCAUGAGGUGGGUUUUUUUGUGUGGGUAGAGGGUUGCUAGGAUACAGAUAGCCCUAACAUCAUGGCAGCUGCCUUGUUCUUCAGCACAUGGUGUGUCAGUUGAGAAACAGUGUUUUAUUUCAUUCACUUCAACACUCAUCUGGUUAAAAUUUCAAAAGCUUGAAGCAGAAUCUUUCUUCUUCCAUAGACAGAUCAAAGAUAGAAGAUCAAUCAAACUCAACACUGUCAUAAUAUAUGGCUGUUGAUACCAAUCCCAUAUAUUCUGAGCCCUUGCCUUAUCAGGUUUAAAAACAUGCCCAGAGGUGGAAUCUACCAGGGAUCUUCUGAUGUUUUUCUGCCUUUCUCUGAAGUAUACAAUUAUUGUUUACUAUAGAAUUUUCAAUAGAAAGGAAUUUAAUCUCUCCUUGGUGUGCAGGGAAAUUGCAAAGGUUGCUGUCAUAAAUGUUAAUUUACCUAGUAUGUGGAAAUGUAUAUCUUUUAUAUUCCGGCAACAUUGUUGAGAAUUUUCAAAACUCUAAGUGGAUCAAAAGGCUUAUGUUUUGAAAACAAAUCUGAGAAAUCGGCUGCAACUUUUAUAUUUCUUGGUUAUUCUAAUGAAUCAUGGUAAAUAUUUUUUUGUAAGGGGGGCAAAGGUAUAUGAGAAAAAUGUCCGUCUAGAAUCUCAAUGCAUUUAAAAAGCACCCAACAAUGUUCAAGAGAGGAUGAUAGGUGACUGUUCUUCAGUGUUGACAUAUCCUGGAACAGAAAGCUGACGAGAAGCGCACUGUACAUGGAUGUCCUUCCUUAAUAUAAGCUAUGUUGAUGCACAUGAAAUGACCUGGUUUUAUUACUUCCAGCAGACAGGAUGAAAUGCCAUUUUUUAAACAAAGGAUACACUUUAAACUGUGUGAAUUGUGGUUGGUGCUUGAUGUAAAGGGACUGAUCUUGUCACAGGAAAAAGCGGAGCAGUUCUGGACAGGUGAUUCUAGUGUGACACUUGCUUGUUGCCUUCCUUUUGCAGGAAAGAGUUCUCUCACCCUUAGUUGAUGCACUGUUUGCCCAGCAGGUCGUGUGAGGCCUCAGCUUUUGAAGUUAAUAAGGUUCAAUUAAAUAGCUGAUGUGAGCUGCUAGCAUUUACCUCAUAGGAUUGUUUUGAAGGCUAAAUCAAUUAAUUCACAUAAGGUGCUUAGAAUCUUGCCUGACAUAGUGAGCUCCUAGUAAAUAUUAGCUGUGACUCUCUACCAAAUACCGUAACCUGAGACAUUAGGGAUACCUUUGCUUUGUGUAAUUUUUCUAACCCUAUUUUUCAAAUGUUCUGUGAUGUUUAGAGAAAUCUAAAGUUGGCUUCUUGGGGUGAGCCAAGUCCUAACAGUCAUCUUACCAGGGGGUUCUCUGUAAUUUGUUAUUAUCCUUGAAAAUAAAGUAUGGCACAGAAUCUCCAAUUAAUUACUUUUCCUAAGUAAUUAUUCUUACUAUUUGUAACAUUUUCCCUCAACAUUCCAAGAAAAUUAUAUGAAGUAUUUUCUCUCAAUAUUUCUAUAGUUCUACUUACAGCUGGGGUGCUGAAUUUAGCACUGAUCAGUGUGGGAUUAAUGAGAACAAUGGAAACAUCUAGACUCCAACAAUUCUUAAUUUCUUUUGUUUUUG